rnacentral:SRP_RNA from 1 species
AGCAAUAUUUUUGAUGGCGUGAAAUUUCGAACCGUGUCAGGGGGGAAACUCAGCAGCACUAAGAUAACCUUCGCGGGUGUCAAAAUUAUUGAAGGA